UAUUGCACAAUGGGCGCAAGCCUGAUGCAGCCAUGCCGCGUGUGUGAAGAAGGCCUUCGGGUUGUAAAGCACUUUCAGUCAGGAGGAAAGGUUAGUAGUUAAUACCUGCUAGCUGUGGCGUUACUGACAGAAGAAGCACCGGCUAACUCCGUGCCAGCAGCCGCGGUAAUACGGAGGGUGCGAGCGUUAAUCGGAAUUACUGGGCGUAAAGCGUACGCAGGCGGUUUGUUAAGCGAGAUGUGAAAGCCCCGGGCUCAACCUGGGAACUGCAUUUCGAACUGGCAAACUAGAGUGUGAUAGAGGGUGGUAGAAUUUCAGGUGUAGCGGUGAAAUGCGUAGAGAUCUGAAGGAAUACCGAUGGCGAAGGCAGCCACCUGGGUCAACACUGACGCUCAUUACGAAA
rnacentral:rRNA from 1 species